GAACGUGAAAAAUGCUUGACAUUUCAAGGUGCUUCUUCACUGCACAGGCCCAAAGCAGUGGGCUGAGAAUCGGAAGGGAGUGGGGUCUACGGGGAAAGGGUUUCCUCCAUCCCACGCAGUCUCUCCAUCCUGGCCAACUCAUCAGAUACCAAGGCUGCUCCUUAGCAGACAGACAUCACAGCCCCUCAGGGAAAUGUUAGAAUUUGUGGAAUAGUGUUCUCAGAAUACUUUAGUGACCCAGACACUAAAGAAAAAUUGUUCAAAUUUGCUUUUCUCUCUAAAUAGAAAAUAGGCAUUUGUUCGUAUUCAAAUCGCUAUGGAUAGUCCUGAGAAAUUAAUGUUGUUCAGAGAAGGUUCCCAGAUGUGAACCAAUGGUUUCUUUUGUUACUGUUUACUGUCACAUCCAACCUAUUUAAAGACUUUAUCUGAAGUUACUGAGUAGCUUCUUUGUCUUGUACAGAAGACUUCAGAUGAUGUUAAAUACUUUAGGGCAAGAAUAGGGAUAAACAGAUGUAACUUUCUUAUUUCACCAGCAGGUGGCUCCCUUGACCACAUAAUUUAUGUUCACACUUAAGCCAACAGUGAUCAUUCACCAAAUGCCUAGUUCUACUCUAACGACCUUCUGCAGAUAAACUCCAAAUGUAGGCAUGAAGGUGGUAACCAAAUGUUUCUGCAGAAUUAAAACAGCAGCUAAACCAAUUGGGCACUUAAAAGAGAACCCACAGCACGAUGAAGUCCUCCAGGACUCGGGCAAGGCCUCUCGGUGGCUCUCUAUGCUAAUGCACACAUCUGGGCGCCAACACUGCAAUGGUUUCAUCUUCAAAACAGGAAACCCACAGAGAGGAAGGCAUUGAUUCAGUGGAAGCUCACGAAUCCACACCACUCAUUACCCAGCAAGUUUCCUCUUUUUCCUUCAGUCACCAUUCUCCUAGACUAGAGUUUCUCAACCUUGGCACUUUUAACAUCUUGAGCUGGAUAACUCCUUGUUGUGGAGGAAUGUCCUGUGCAUUGUUGGAUGUUUAGCAGUGUCCCUGAUUGAGAACCACUGUCCUAGGACCCUUGUGACUUCUUCACACUUUUCUCUUUCCACAGGUGCGAGGGAAAUCAGAGCCAAGCCAGCAACGCAAUUGUAGGAGCAGAGCCUGAGAAUGAAGCUCAGAAAGGUUCCAGGACUUGCCCAAGUUGUCAGUGGAGGAGCCAGCGCCAGACCCAGGGUUUUACUUCACCAACAUCACACUGUCUUUCCAUCAUCAACCACAGGCCUGUGUACAGGCAGAUAACCCUAGGUUUUACCACACAAUAUGCAUUUAGAAUCACAGUAAUGAAGAGGAAGUCAGUUACCUUCUCCACAGUUCCACCUGGACGAAAACCAGUGAUGGUCACUUUUAAGGAAGUAGCCUGGACCUUGAA